CCAAUAGCGUAUAUUAAAGUUGUUGCAGUUAAAAAGCUCGUAGUUGAAUUUCGAGACCGGUUUACCGGUCGUGCUUUUGUACGUACUGGUAUAAUCAGUUUCUCUCUUCUGACGAACUAUAAUGCCAUUAAUUUGGUGUUUUAGGGAAUCAGGACUGUUACUUUGAAAAAAUUAGAGUGUUUAAAGCAGGCUCACGCUUG
rnacentral:rRNA from 1 species